AUAAAUUCUAAGAAGAAGAGAGUAGCACUAAAUGGAAUUUCAGCGAGCUAGGGUUGGUGUGAGCCUAGUAAUAAAGUUUAAUGUGAAGAGAGCUUUGGAGAAGAUUACUUGAACUAAUAGUAUGGUAAUCGGUGAGCCUGCCUUAAAGGAUUAAGUGGAUAAGUUUACUUAUCAAUUAGAGUGGUAACGCGGAUAUAAUUCGUCUCUUGG
rfam:[Clostridium] sordellii strain JGS6382 genome assembly, chromosome: 1